UUGACUCGGAUCAGGUAGGACUACCCGCUGAACUUAAGCAUAUCAAUAAGCGGAGGAAAGAAACCAACAGGAUUGCCCCAGUAACGCGAGUGAAGCGCAACAGCUCAAUUUGAAUCUGGCCCACCGGGCGAGUUGUAAUUUGGAGAGGAUGCUUCUGGCGCGGCGCCGUCCGAGUUCCUUGGAACAGGACGCCACAGAGGGUGAGAGCCCCGUACGGACGGACGGCCAGCCUAUACGAAGCUCCUUCGACGAGUCGAGUAGUUUGGGAAUGCUGCUCAAAAUGGGAGGUAAAUUUCUUCUAAAGCUAAAUACCGGCCAGAGACCGAUAGCGCACAAGUAGAGUGAUCGAAAGAUGAAAGCACUUUGAAAGAGGGUUAAAAGUACGUGAAUUGUUGAAAGGGAG
rnacentral:rRNA from 1 species